AGACAGGCUUGAGGUCCAUUGAUCUUUCUUUGGGAGAAGCUACCAGAGAGAAAAAAAAUUCCCAUAAGUGAUGCGACAGUGCCUUAGGAGGCCUGAUUGUCCUGAGUUGGGGAGAGCAGGAACUUGACUGCCUGCCCAACCAACCUGGCCCAGCCUGGCCUCCCCAGCUACUUCCCCCAUCCACGAUGGUCGAGCCUCCAGGAAGCUGCAGAUUGGUCUGUGUGUGGUUUAAAAACAUACGCCCUGGCUUUGACCAGCUCCUGGCAGGACAAACGUCUGGAGUCUGGAUUUGGGGCCUCUGGCAGAGCUGCGGUGGAGGCAGGAAGGCACAAAGAGCCUGUAAAACGCCUUCUGUACUGAAGUUCCGGAUCUUGCUUCGGGGAAGGGCCUCUUUGCUCUCUCACUGCCCAGCAGUCCAGACAGCAGAGCCUCGGGCGCCUCUGGGAAAACAAGGAGCCCAGAGGCCCUGAAAAAGAUUUUCACAACAGUAUCAUCCCUUUGAAAAAAAAGAAACUUCAAUGUUGAGAGUAGUUUGAUUCUCACCACUUGCAAGGAAGAUGGGGAAGAAGCAGAGGCACCUCAAGACAUCAGAGCCUAUCCCAGUCCCGCAGCUACUGGUCACCAUCCCGGAUUCUGCAGGUGGCCUGGUUAUUGCAAUCUUCAGGUGACCCUGUGGCCCCCUGUCCCUUGCUCCUGAAACUCCUAAAGCGAAGACCUAAAUCCAGAGAUACUUACAUUCUUUACUGAGUUGAGAAAAGAGGAUUUGGAAUACAAGUUCGUAAAUCUUCCAGAGCUGUAUGUUUCAGCCCCAAAUGCCUCUUUGAAUGUGCAGAUUUGCUAAUUAAAAG
rnacentral:lncRNA from 1 species